GUACACUCCAAACUUGCAAUUCUGCUCAUUUUGUUUGCCCUCUCAAAGGGCUGUAAACUUUUUGAUGAGGGUAGCAGAGACAAAAAAGUACCCUUUAAACUUUGAUGGUACCUUCUUGUCACACAAAUUGUUGGAUGCAAGUCCACUUCAUUCAUGCUUGAUCUCCCAUUCCCUUGGAUCAAAGACGUCAUAUACUCAAAUACUUCUCUCUUGGGGAUAACUUGAGCACCAAGCUUCACAACAACAUGUCAAUCGUAGAGGCUUCACCAAAUGAACAUGAACAAAAUAAGAAGAGAUCGAGUUAUGUCUUUUAUCUCAGACUUGUCGCUG
rnacentral:misc_RNA from 1 species